ACGCUGGCGGCACGCCUUAUACAUGCAAGUCGAACGAAGUAGCAAUACUUAGUGGCAGACGGGUGAGUAACAUGUGGGUAUCUUCCCUUUGGCCUGGAAUAACACGAGGAAACUUGUGCUAAUACCGGAUAAGUCUUUACGGAGAAAGCUUUAUGCACCAUUGGAUGAGCCUGCACUAGAUUAGUUUGUUGGUGGGGUAAUGGCCUACCAAGACUUUGAUCUAUAGCUGAUUUGAGAGGAUGAUCAGCCACAUUGGAACUGAGACACGGUCCAAACUCCUACGGGAGGCAGCAGUAGGGAAUCUUGCACAAUGGAGGAAACUCUGAUGCAGCGAUGCCGCGUGAGUGAAGAAGGCCCUUGGGUUGUAAAGCUCUUUCGUCGGGGAAGAAAAUGACUGUACCCGAAUAAGAAGGUCCGGCUAACUUCGUGCCAGCAGCCGCGGUAAUACGAAGGGACCUAGCGUAGUUCGGAAUUACUGGGCUUAAAGAGUUCGUAGGUGGUUAAAAAAGUUGGUGGUGAAAUCCCAGAGCUCAACUCUGGAACUGCCAUCAAAACUUUUUAGCUAGAGUAUGAUAGAGGAAAGCAGAAUUUCUAGUGUAGAGGUGAAAUUCGUAGAUAUUAGAAAGAAUACCGAUUGCGAAGGCAGCUUUCUGGAUCAUUACUGACACUGAGGAACGAAAGCAUGGGUAGCGAAGAGGAUUAGAUACCCUCGUAGUCCAUGCCGUAAACGAUGUGUGUUAGACGUUGGAAAUUUAUUUUCAGUGUCACAGAGAAAUCAGUAAACACACCGCCUGGGGAGUACGACCGC
rnacentral:rRNA from 1 species